rnacentral:rRNA from 1 species
GAUGACCGCUAGCGGCAGGCNUAAUACAUGCAAGUCGAACGGUAACAUUGGUGCUUGCACCAGAUGACGAGUGGCGCACGGGUGCGUAACGCGUAUGCAACCUACCUUUUACUAGAGUAUAGCCCAGAGAAAUUUGGAUUAAUCCUCUAUAACAUCUUUUAAUUUCAUGAUUUUAAGAUUAAAGUUUUAACGGUAAAAGAUGGGCAUGCGUCCUAUUAGUUUGUAGGUGAGGUAACGGCUCACCUAGACUACGAUAGGUAGGGGCCCUGAGAGGGGGAUCCCCCACACUGGUACUGAGACACGGACCAGACUCCUACGGGAGGCAGCAGUAAGGAAUAUUGGACAAUGGACGAAAGUCUGAUCCAGCCAUGCCGCGUGCAGGAUGACAGCCCUACGGGUUGUAAACUGCUUUUAUACAGGAAGAAACUACUCCGACGUGUCGGAGCUUGACGGUACUGUAAGAAUAAGGAUCGGCUAACUCCGUGCCUGCG